rnacentral:rRNA from 1 species
UACGUAGGGGGCCGAGCGUUGUCCGGAGUUAUUGGGCGUAAAGCGCGCGCAGGCGGCCUCGCGCGCCCGACGUGAAAGCCCCCGGCUUAACCGGGGAGGGUCGUUGGGGACGGCGGGGCUUGAGGGCGGGAGAGGGUGGUGGAAUUCCCGGUGUAGUGGUGAAAUGCGUAGAGAUCGGGAGGAACACCCGAGGCGAAGGCGGCCACCUGGGCCGACCCUGACGCUGAGGCGCGAAGGCGUGGGGAGCGAACGGG